GACAUAGGUGGCGAACGUUAUCCGGAUUUAUUGGGCGUAAAGGAUGCGUAGAUGGUGGAAUAAGUUAUUGGUCAAAGUCAAGCUCAACUUGGCGGAAGCUGGUAAUACUAUUCUACUCGAGGAUAGGAGAGGGUAGUGGAAUUCCCGGUGUAGCAGUGAAAUGCGUAGAGAUCGGGAGGAACAUCCAUGGCGAAGGCAGCUACCUGGACCAACACUGACACUGAGGCACGAAAGCGUGGGGAGCAAACAGG
rnacentral:rRNA from 1 species